ensembl:snRNA U1 U1 spliceosomal RNA
UCACUUUCCUGGAAGGGGAGAUACCAGGAUCAGGAAGGUGGUUUUCCCCAGUCUGGUCUCUCACACUCGAGAUCUGUUGAUCCUCGUGAUUUCCCCCAAAGCAAGAAGCUCGACUUUAUAGUUUUUGCUAAUGGGGGAAUGCUGGCUCAUACUCUCCCCUA